rnacentral:rRNA from 1 species
CCUACGGGUGGCAGCAGUGAGGAAUAUUGGUCAAUGGCCGGGAGUCUGAACCAGCCAAGUCGCGUGAAGGAAGACGGCCCUAUGGGUUGUAAACCUCUUUUGUCGGGGAGUAAAGACAGCCACGUGUGACUGUUUGAGAGUACCUUAAGAAUAAGCAUCGGCUAACUCCGUGCCAGCAGCCGCGGUAAUACGGAGGAUGCGAGCGUUAUCCGGAUUUAUUGGGUUUAAAGGGUGCGAAGGCGGUGGAGUAAGUCAGCGGUAAAAUCCGGGGGCUCAACCCCGAAGUGCCGUUGAAACUGUUGGGCUAGAGAGUGGGUGCGGUAUGCGGAAUGCGUGGUGUAGCGGUGAAAUGCAUAGAUAUCACGCAGAACUCCGAUUGCGAAGGCAGCGUACCGGGGCACUACUGACGCUGAGGCACGAAAGCGUGGGUAUCAAACAGGAUUAGAUACCCUAGUAGUC